ACGAGUAUCAAUCAACAGCACACAGUUGUUCAGCUAACAUUUGUUCAGCUAACAGUUGUUCAGUUAACAUCUGUUCAGUUAACAUCUGUUCAGCUAACAUCUGUUCAGCUAACAUCUGUUCGAGAUGAAAAAGAGAGAUUGAAAUGACCUCUUCAUGAUUGUUCUUGGUCAGUCCCCUGCUGAAAGUGAGGAAGAGGAGCCAGAGGCCACGACACAAGAGACAGUCAACACAGGGGAGUCCGAUGCUGAGAGAGGAGAUGAAGAGACAGUAUCCAGGGAGACAACAGCAGCCCAGAAGAAGAUCCUAUAGGGACAGACAGAUGCUCGUGUAGACGAGGAGACCCAUCAUUUUGAUUAUUUUGCUCAUCUGUUCGGCAGGAUUCUCGUCCUAGACCUCGGCCAUGUCCUCGCCGUGUGUUCGUUUAUUCAGAGGGAGAAAACAGUCAUGAGUUCAAUGCAUUCAAUCAAAUCAUGUUUAUUUGCUCCAACCAAUAACAAAACUUACAGAGUCUCUGGGUUUCUGUCUCACGAGUCACCAACCAGGGCUGGAUCGCGCAGAGGACAGGUACCUGGUACAAUAGUUAAUUUGCUAUUCAUCCCGCAUGGUGGGUGCGGUCUGUACGUGGGUGAACUGCCUGACUAUGUGUCUGGACUUAUCGUAAUCGUUAUUGUGUAAUUAUUUUGCUGUUCUAGGCUAAAUUUGGUCUGAACAGAACAUCUUGUGACAUCUACUGUCUGUAUGGUAAUUAGUUUAAUGCACGUAGUGCAGGCUCUGCAAGAUUUGUUAUAAAAUCUUAAGUAUAACGUAUG